rnacentral:piRNA from 1 species
GUGUCUCCACGAGGAGAAUGUCAGGC